rnacentral:rRNA from 1 species
UGCCAGCCGCCGCGGUAAUACGGAGGGGGUUAGCGUUGUUCGGAAUUACUGGGCGUAAAGCGUACGUAGGCGGAUUAAUAAGUUAGAGGUGAAAUCCCAGGGCUCAACCCUGGAACUGCCUUUAAAACUGUUAGUCUUGAGAUCGAGAGAGGUGAGUGGAAUUCCAAGUGUAGAGGUGAAAUUCGUAGAUAUUUGGAGGAACACCAGUGGCGAAGGCGGCUCACUGGCUCGAUACUGACGCUGAGGUACGAAGCCUAGGGGCACGAACCGGAUUAGAUA